rnacentral:rRNA from 1 species
UACAGAGGGUACGAACGUUGCUCGGAAUUACUGGGCGUAAAGCGCAUGUAGGCGGAUCCAUAAGUCGGGCGUGAAAUCCCCAGGCUCAACCUGGGAACUGCGCUCGAAACUGUGGGUCUUGAGUGUCGGAGAGGAUGGCGGAAUUCCUGGUGUAGAGGUGAAAUUCGUAGAUAUCAGGAGGAACACCGGUGGCGAAGGCGGCCAUCUGGACGACAACUGACGCUGAGAUGCGAAAGCGUGGGGAGCAAACAGG